rnacentral:rRNA from 1 species
ACGGGAGGCAGCAGUCGGGAAUAUUGCGCAAUGGAGGAAACUCUGACGCAGUGACGCCGCGUAUAGGAAGAAGGUUUUAGGAUUGUAAACUAUUUUAGACAGGGAAGAAAAAUGACGGUACCUGUUAAAUAAGCUCCGGCUAACUACGUGCCAGCAGCCGCGGUAAUACGUAGGGAGCAAGCGUUAUCCGGAAUUAUUGAGUGUAAAGGGUGCGUAGACGGGAACUUAAGUUGGUUGUGAAAGCCCCAGGCUUAACUUGGGAACUGCAACCAAAACUGAGGUUCUUGAGUGCAGGAGAGGAAAGCGGAAUUCCUAGUGUAGCGGUGAAAUGCGUAGAUAUUAGGAGGAACACCAGUGGCGAAGGCGGCUUUCUGGACUGUAACUGACGUUGAGGCACGAAAGUGUGGGGAGCAAACAGGAUUAGAUACCCUGGUA